CACAGUGCGGAGUCUGCACGGUGUGUAGGUUUCUCUCAGGCGGUCUGAUACAGUGCGGAGCCUGCAUGGUGUUUAGGUCUCUCUCAGGCGGUCCGAUACAAUGCGGAGCCUGCAUGGUGUGUAGGUCUCUUUCAGGCGGUCUGAUACAGUGCGGAGCCUGCACGGUGUUUAGGUCUCUCUCAGGCGGUCCGAAACAGUGCGGAGCCCGCACGGUGUGUAGGUCUCUUUCAGGCGGUCCGAUACAGUGCGGAGCCCGCACGGUGUGUAGGUCUCUUUCAGGCGGUCUGAUUCAGUGCGGAGCCCGCACAGUGUGUAGGUGUCUUUCAGGCGGUCCGAUACAGUGUGGAGCCUACACGGUGUGUAGGUCUCUUUCAGGCGGUCCGAUACAGUGCGGAGACCGCACGGUGUGUAGGUCUCUUUCAGGAGGUCCGAUUCAGUGCGGAGACCACACGGUGUGUAGGUCUCUUUCAGGCGGUCCGAUUCAGUGCGGAGCCCGCAUGGUGUGUAGGUCUCUUUCAGGAGGUCCGAUUCAGUGCGGAGACCACACGGUGUGUAGGUCUCUUUCAGGCGGUCCGAUACAGUGUGUAGCCUGCACAGUGUUUAGGUCUCUCUCAGACAGU